UACCAUGCAGUCGAGGGGCAGCACAUGAGUAGCAAUACGAUGGUGGCGAUUGGCGCACGGGUGAGUAACACGUAUGCAACCUACCUUCUACCAGGGGAUAACCCGUUGAAAGACGGACUAAUACCCUAUAAUACAGGGGCUCCGCAUGGAGAUAUUUGUUAAAGAUUCAUCAGUAGAAGAUGGGCAUGCGCAUGAUUAGCUAGUUGGCGGGGUAACGGCCCACCAAGGCAUCGAUCAUUAGGGGUUCUGAGAGGAAGGUCCCCCACACUGGUACUGAGACACGGACCAGACUCCUACGGGAGGCAGCAGUGAGGAAUAUUGGUCAAUGGGCGAGAGCCUGAACCAGCCAAGUCGCGUGAAGGAAGACUGUCCUAUGGAUUGUAAACUUCUUUUGUACGGGAAUAAAGUGGGCUACGUGUAGCCUUUUGUAUGUACCGUACGAAUAAGGAUCGGCUAACUCCGUGCCAGCAGCCGCGGUAAUACGGAGGAUCCGAGCGUUAUCCGGAUUUAUUGGGUUUAAAGGGUGCGUAGUGGAUUGAUAAGUCAGUGGUGAAAGUUUGCAGCUUAACUGUAAAAUUGCCGGUUGAAACUGUCC
rnacentral:rRNA from 1 species